rnacentral:rRNA from 1 species
UACGUAGGGGGCAAGCGUUGUCCGGAAUUAUUGGGCGUAAAGCGCGCGCAGGCGGCUUUGUAAGUUUGGUGUUUAAGCUCAGAGCUCAACUCUGAUUCGCAUCGAAAACUGCAAGGCUUGAGUACAGAAGAGGAAAGUGGAAUUCCACGUGUAGCGGUGAAAUGCGUAGAGAUGUGGAGGAACACCAGUGGCGAAGGCGACUUUCUGGGCUGUAACUGACGCUGAGGCGCGAAAGCGUGGGGAGCAAACAGG